rnacentral:rRNA from 1 species
UGACCUCGGAUCAGGUAGGGAUACCCGCUGAACUUAAGCAUAUCAAUAAGCGGAGGAAAAGAAACCAACAGGGAUUGCCUCAGUAACGGCGAGUGAAGCGGCAAGAGCUCAAAUUUGAAAUCUGGC